GGGGCACAUAUAGAUUGCUUGCAAUUUAUGAUGGCGACCGGCGCACGGGUGAGUAACGCGUAUCCAACCUACCCAUUACUAGGGAAUAACCCAGCGAAAGUUGGCCUAAUGCCCUAUGUAGUCGUUUGAUCGCCUGAGAUUUCGACGAAAGAUUUAUCGGUAUUGGAUGGGGAUGCGUCUGAUUAGCUUGUUGGCGGGGUAAAGGCCCACCAAGGCAACGAUCAGUAGGGGUUCUGAGAGGAAGGUCCCCCACAUUGGAACUGAGACACGGUCCAAACUCCUACGGGAGGCAGCAGUGAGGAAUAUUGGUCAAUGGGCGAGAGCCUGAACCAGCCAAGUAGCGUGCAGGAUGACGGCCCUAUGGGUUGUAAACUGCUUUUAUAUGGGAAUAAAGUGAGGGACGUGUCCCUUAUUGCAUGUACCAUACGAAUAAGGACCGGCUAAUUCCGUGCCAGCAGCCGCGGUAAUACGGAAGGUCCAGGCGUUAUCCGGAUUUAUUGGGUUUAAAGGGAGCGUAGGCUGUUUGUUAAGCGUGUUGUGAAAUGUAGGAGCUCAACUUUUAGAUUGCAGCGCGAACUGGCAGACUUGAGUGCGCACAACGUAGGCGGAAUUCAUGGUGUAGCGGUGAAAUGCUUAGAUAUCAUGACGAACU
rnacentral:rRNA from 1 species